GAUGAACGCUGGCGGCGUGCCUAAUACAUGCAAGUCGAGCGAAUGGAUUAAGAGCUUGCUCUUAUGAAGUUAGCGGCGGACGGGUGAGUAACACGUGGGUAACCUGCCCAUAAGACUGGGAUAACUCCGGGAAACCGGGGCUAAUACCGGAUAAUAUUUUGAACUGCAUGGUUCAAAAUUGAAAGGCGGCUUCGGCUGUCACUUAUGGAUGGACCCGCGUCGCAUUAGCUAGUUGGUGAGGUAACGGCUCACCAAGGCAACGAUGCGUAGCCGACCUGAGAGGAUGAUCGGCCACACUGGGACUGAGACACGGCCCAGACUCCUACGGGAGGCAGCAGUAGGGAAUCUUCCGCAAUGGACGAAAGUCUGACGGAGCAACGCCGCGUGAGUGAUGAAGGCUUUCGGGUCGUAAAACUCUGUUGUUGGGGAAGAACAAGUGCUAGUUGAAUAAGCUGGCACCUUGACGGUACCUAACCAGAAAGCACCGGCUAACUACGUGCCAGCCGCCGCGGUAA
rnacentral:rRNA from 1 species